GACGAACGCUGGCGGCGUGCUUAACACAUGCAAGUCGAACGGAAAGGCGCGGCUUUUGCUGGGUUCUCGUUUGGCGAACGGGGGAGUAACACGCGAGGAACCUCCCCCUGACUUUGGGAGAACUUCAGGAAACUCGGGCUAUAACCCGGUAGGAUCUCCUGCACCAUGGGGUUGGAUGGUAAAAUUCGGCGGUGGUGGCUGGUCUCGCGGCUUACGAGCUGGUUUGUGGAGUAGGUGCGGACCAGGCGUAUGACGGGUAGGCCGCCUGGGAGGGUGGACAGCCACAUUGGGCCUGAGGUACGGACCAGACGGCUACGGGAGGCAGUAGGGGAGAAUAUUGCACAGUGGGCGGAAGCCUGAUGCAGCGACGCCGCGUGCGGAAUGACGGGCUUCGGGUUGUGAACAGAUUUCGCCUGUGACGAAGCGUGAGUGACGGUAAUGGGUAAAGAAGCACCGGCUAACUACGUG
rnacentral:rRNA from 1 species